GUGCUUAUAAGCGCUCAUUAAAGAUUAUUUAAUUACUAAAUUAAGAAAGUUUUUAAAUUUAAUAUGUAGAAGCCCAAAUUUGCUGGGCCCAUUGUCCAAAUAAAAUAAAAUACAACAAACCCAAAAUUCAAUCCCAACUACCCAAACCUUAAGCCCAAAAUAAUCAGCCCACAAACUUAAAAUUUCAGCAGCAAACCCUAGCUGGCCGCCGCAUGCCUUACGUGGCCUCCUCAGCCUUGGCCACCACGCCCCACGCGUCUGACACUCCCACCUGCUCCACCGUGCCCACCACCUGCAACAAGAACAAACACAACAGCAAAGAAAGCAUGCGAAUGAUGGGGGAAGUAAUAAACAAAAGGAACGAAAAAAAUAUAUUGGCUUUAAAAGCCGAAAUCUAUCAUUUGUAUUUUGGGGGGGGAUUUUUAUGUUUUUUUUUUGGAGAUUUCAAAAGGGAAGAAUCGGUUGUAUUUUGGGGGGGUUUCUCUUUUUUUUUCGGCAUUUUAAUACAAAAAGCAGAGAAAAAUACAAAAAAAGGGGAAACAAGGAACGAAAACAUAAAUCGGAAGGUGAUUUUGUUUUUUCAUUUUUCUCUAUUAUCUUCUUAAAUCCAUUUUUUUCUUUUCUUCCUCAUUUCUAGCAUAUAUAUACACAUAUAAUCGAAAAAUAAAAAAAACAAAAAAUAAAUUUUUUACCUUUUCCGGCCACCGCACGCGGUGGCCGGCGCCGGCGCCGGUGGCCGUCCGGUGACCGGCCCCCCUGGCCGGAUUCCCCUUCCCCCCUCCCUUCUCUCUUCCCUCUCUCUUUUUUUUUUUUUCUUUCCC
rnacentral:lncRNA from 1 species